GAUGAACGCUGGCGGCGUGCCUAACACAUGCAAGUCGAGCGAUCUUCUUCGGAAGAGAGCGGCGGACGGGUGAGUAACGCGUGGGUAACCUGCCCUGUACACACGGAUAACAUACCGAAAGGUAUGCUAAUACGAGAUAAUAUGCUUUUAUCGCAUGGUAGAAGUAUCAAAGCUCCGGCGGUACAGGAUGGACCCGCGUCUGAUUAGCUAGUUGGUGAGGUAACGGCUCACCAAGGCGACGAUCAGUAGCCGACCUGAGAGGGUGAUCGGCCACAUUGGAACUGAGACACGGUCCAAACUCCUACGGGUGGCAG
rnacentral:rRNA from 1 species